UACAGAGGUCUCAAGCGUUGUUCGGAUUCAUUGGGCGUAAAGGGCGCGUAGGCGGCCACCGCAAGUCGGUUGUGAAAUCUCUGGGCUUAACCCAGAAAGGUCAACCGAUACUGCGGGGCUAGAGUGCAGAAGGGGCAACUGGAAUUCUCGGUGUAGCGGUGAAAUGCGUAGAUAUCAGGAGGAACACCUGUGGCGAAAGCGGCUCACUGGACCAUAACUGACGCUGAUGCACGAAAAGCUAGGGGGAGCAAAACAGGG
rnacentral:rRNA from 1 species